AGCGAACGCUGGCGGCAGGCCUAACACAUGCAAGUCGAACGGAUCCUUCGGGAUUAGUGGCGGACGGGUGAGUAACACGUGGGAACGUGCCCUUUGGUUCGGAACAACUCAGGGAAACUUGAGCUAAUACCGGAUGUGCCCUUCGGGGGAAAGAUUUAUCGCCAUUGGAGCGGCCCGCGUCUGAUUAGCUAGUUGGUGGGGUAACGGCCCACCAAGGCGACGAUCAGUAGCUGGUCUGAGAGGAUGAUCAGCCACAGUGGGACUGAGACACGGCCCAGACUCCUACGGGAGGCAGCAGGGGGGAAUAUUGCAAAAGGGGCGGAAGCCUGAUGCAGCAACGCCGCGUGGGGGAUGACGGCCUUCGGGUUGUAAACCGCUGUCGCCUGGGACGAAGCGUGAGUGACGGUAAUGGGUAAAGAAGAACCGGCUAACUACGUG
rnacentral:rRNA from 1 species